ensembl:lncRNA
GGGGUUAUCAAUGGAGGAGCUCCUUAUAAAGUUGAUGGAAGAAGGCAUUGAUGUGUCAGACGACGAGGCGCAAAGGUUUAGAGUUGUGUGAUGAGGUUGAUUUAAUGCAUCCCUGCCAAGACAACAUCUGUCGCCGCUUUAGCAAAAACUUCACUGCUGUUCUUCAAAUGACCAAGGAUUUGCCACUGAAGAAGGUCUACAUGGAGGCAAGAGAGAAUGCACUGGCUGAAGACAUUACAGGAAUUGACUUCAAGGGGGCACUUCUCUUGCCAUCCAUCUUCAAGGAGAAGAUAGAAGAUUUCAUCAUCCUUGGAGAGAAUACUCCCACGAGUCCAUACCCAACCAUUCGAAUGAAGGAUAAGAGUUGGACAACUGCCCUCUUAAGACAGUUUCGCUGUGUUGUGACAGUUGAAGGAGUGGAUGUUUGCUCGUGCCGCUCGCUGGAUGAGGCCUACAUCUCAGCAUUCUCCACCUUCUUCGUGUUCAACAUGACCUACCCUGCAUACUUCAAGAAAACACUUGUCUUUCUUCAGAACUGCAUUGUCAACAUAGGAGACCAGGGAGACAAACCCCUGCCAAUGAGAACAAGCGUGUCUCCCGGCUAUGAGGUUCGGGACCGGGGUUCCUCCGUGUCAGGACUCCAAGUGUCUCGGUUUGGCCGCCUCUUCCCUCGGCCCGCUCCUCCGUGCCCUAAAACUUCAGGCCAGCCUCACGGAGCUGCGAAUUUCUGGAAACCGUAUGUCUGACGACCUUCUCCCUGAGCUGAUUGCCACAACGCUCACAUGCCUCGUCUGCAGCUGCUGGACAUUUCUGCCAACUGCAUUACAGGGGACGGCCUGGAGAAGGCUGUAAAUGCUUUAAAGGGACAGAGUGCACCUGCAUUCCCGUGCCUGGAGGAGCUGGACCUCAGUAUGAACCCACUGGGG